rnacentral:rRNA from 1 species
CCUACGGGAGGCAGCAGUGGGGAAUCUUGGACAAUGGGGGAAACCCUGAUCCAGCAAUGCCGCGUGUGGGAUGAAGGCCCUCGGGUUGUAAACCACUUUUGGCAGGAAAGAAAUCGCCUGUGCUAAUACCAUGGGCGGAUGACGGUACCUGCAGAAUAAGCACCGGCUAACUACGUGCCAGCAGCCGCGGUAAUACGUAGGGUGCGAGCGUUAAUCGGAAUUACUGGGCGUAAAGCGUGCGCAGGCGGUUUUGUAAGACAGAUGUGAAAUCCCCGGGCUUAACCUGGGAACUGCAUUUGUGACUGCAAGACUAGAGUGUGUCAGAGGGAGGUGGAAUUCCGCGUGUAGCAGUGAAAUGCGUAGAGAUGCGGAAGAACACCGAUGGCGAAGGCAGCCUCCUGGGAUAACACUGACGCUCAGGCACGAAAGCGUGGGGAGCAAACAGGAUUAGAUACCCUGGUAGUCCACGCCCUAAACGAUGUCAACUAGUUGUUGGGGAUUCAUUUCCUUAGUAACGUAGCUAACGCGUGAAGUUGACCGCCUGGGGAGUACGGCCGCAAGGUUAAAACUCAAAGGAAUUGACGG